rnacentral:rRNA from 1 species
UACGUAGGCAGCAAGCGUUGUUCGGAGUUACUGGGCGUAAAGGGUGCGUAGGCGGUUGUUUUAAGUUUGGUGUGAAAUCUCCCGGCUCAACUGGGAGGGUGCGCCGAAUACUGAAUGACUAGAGUGCGGGAGAGGGAGAGUGGAAUUCCUGGUGUAGCGGUGAAAUGUGUAGAUAUCAGGAGGAACACCGGUGUGUAGCGGCUCUCUGGACCGUAACUGACGCUGAGGCACAAAGCUGG